UGUUGAUUAUUGAUGCUUUGCAGAGUGGUGGAAAUUUAAUUUGGAACUGAUAAACAUGAAUGGCUUACAAAGAAGUUUCGCGAAUGAAAAGGGCAAAGGUUUACUGGACUUCUUCAUUAAGGUCUAACAAGAAAGUAUCACCUCAAUCGGAUUUUCUCCCAUCACGUUCGAACAGCAUAUAUCUAUUGGAUUUGGGAUCUGCUUAUUGUGCGGAGUGGGACCAAGGUUAACCCACGAGGUGUUUGAGUCAUCGGCGUUUAUUUUGUUUUUGUUAGUUAGGGGUAGCGUCUUUUAGGUUGUUAGAUCUGUUAAAUUUGGAUUCUGGGCUGUUGUAGUUUUAAUUGAAUUUGAUUUCUUUAAUGUGGGAUUGUUUGUUGUUAA